GAGAAUAGUUAAAUGGCAUAACUACGGUCUCCAAAACCGUUGUUGAGGGUUCGAUUCCUUCUUCUCC
rnacentral:tRNA from 1 species